rnacentral:lncRNA from 1 species
CAGAGGGAGCAGCGAAGAACCUGCUUAGAAGUUGACCUUCUCCUGCUAAACCUUUGCCCCCUCCCAGCGUGGCCAUCGCUGCGGGAUGGGGGCAUUGCUGAGCACCCCCAGGGAACAGCCCGGCCCGGCAUCGCUCCGUCCCAUUGCUGUAGCGCUGAAUCAAAGCCCUCUUACAGAGUCAGGGCAGAAGCAGAAUCCGGGGCUGUUCUCAUCCUCAUCCUCUCACUGAUUUUCAAACAAGAAUAAACUCAGCUUUUCCUGUUCAAGCUGCUCUGCCACAGCAGAAAAGAUUUCAGCUUUCUGUCAACCUGAUGGCAAAACGAAGUCGUUCCCUUCCAGGUAACCGCCUCUGAUUGAGAACAUCCGCUCACCAAAGGCUUUCAGUGCUCUGGUGGGGGAAGAAGAAGAGGAGAAAAACCCCCAAACCCGUCCAUACACAGUGCCCCUGCAGCUGCCCCACACACCGUGACCCCAUAGCUGUGGGGUUCUGGUGCUGUCGGUGUGUCUGGCAGAGGUGUGCCUCCAUCCCGCUGCAUCCCACUGCAUCCCACAUCCCUCUGCAUCCCACAUCCCUCUGCCAGGCUCUGCAGCUCCUUCCAAACAAAGAGGGAUCUCUGGGCCGCCCUCCAUCCACCACCUCCCCUCGGUGGAAGCCUGCCCACGUCUUUUUGUGCAAAUCCUUCCCUCUCGGAUGCUAUUUGAUGUCUUCAAAGGGGCUAUUCUUAUGUGGAGAAAAGAGGGCGAGCUCAGGUCUGACAAGGCUCUUCGCUCGCAGCGCAGCUAUUUUUUCACUCGGAAGAGUGCCAGUUUGGGAUUUCAAGACAAAAAAAGAAAUAAAUAAAAUACAUAUAUUCUCUUUUUCACAGGCUGAUAUUUGGGUGAAGAACUCGCAAAGUUGGGACACUGCAUCACCACGGGGAUGGGGAGGGAGGAAGGGGAGUGAGCACAUGGCUCUG